rnacentral:rRNA from 1 species
GUGAGGAAUAUUGCGCAAUGGAGGCAACUCUGACGCAGCCAUGCCGCGUGCAGGAAGAAGGUGCUACGCGUUGUAAACUGCUUUUAACCGGGAAGAAACCCCAGGACGUGUCCUGGGUUGACGGUACCGGAGGAAUAAGCACCGGCUAACUUCGUGCCAGCAGCCGCGGUAAUACGAAGGGUGCAAGCGUUAUCCGGAUUCAUUGGGUUUAAAGGGUGCGUAGGCGGAGCGUUAAGUCAGUGGUGAAAUCCUGCAGCUUAACUGUAGACUUGCCAUUGAUACUGGCGCUCUUGAGUGCGCUUGAAGUGGGCGGAAUGUGCCGUGUAGCGGUGAAAUGCUUAGAUAUGGCACAGAACACCAAUUGCGAAGGCAGCUCACUAAGGCGAUACUGACGCUGAGGCACGAAAGCGUGGGGAUCGAACAGGAUUAGAUACCACGGUAGUCC